AUUGAACGCUGGCGGCAGGCCUAACACAUGCAAGUCGAGCGGAUGAAGGGAGCUUGCUCCUGGAUUCAGCGGCGGACGGGUGAGUAAUGCCUAGGAAUCUGCCUGGUAGUGGGGGAUAACGUCCGGAAACGGGUGCUAAUACCGCAUACGUCCUGAGGGAGAAAGUGGGGGAUCUUCGGACCUCACGCUAUCAGAUGAGCCUAGGUCGGAUUAGCUAGUUGGUGGGGUAAAGGCCUACCAAGGCGACGAUCCGUAACUGGUCUGAGAGGAUGAUCAGUCACACUGGAACUGAGACACGGUCCAGACUCCUACGGGAGGCAGCAGUGGGGAAUAUUGGACAAUGGGCGAAGGCCUGAUCCAGCCAUGCCGUGUGUGUGAAGAAGGUCUUCGGAUUGUAAAGCACUUUAAGUUGGGAGGAAGGGCAGUAAGUUAAUACCUUGCUGUUUUGACGUUACCAACAGAAUAAGCACCGGCUAACUUCGUG
rnacentral:rRNA from 1 species